rnacentral:rRNA from 1 species
GAUGAACGCUGGCGGCGUGCUUAAUACAUGCAAGUCGAACGAAGCACCUUGGACAGAAUCCUUCGGGAGGAAGACCAUUGUGACUGAGUGGCGGACGGGUGAGUAACGCGUGGGCAACCUGCCUUGUACAGGGGGAUAACAGUUGGAAACGACUGCUAAUACCGCAUAAGCGCACAGUACCGCAUGGUACGGUGUGAAAAACUCCGGUGGUACAAGAUGGACCCGCGUCUGAUUAGCUGGUUGGUGAGGUAACGGCCCACCAAGGCGACGAUCAGUAGCCGACUUGAGAGAGUGAUCGGCCACAUUGGGACUGAGACACGGCCCAAACUCCUACGGGAGGCAGCAGUAGGGAAUAUUGCACAAUGGGGGAAACCCUGAUGCAGCGACGCCGCGUGAAGGAAGAAGUAUUUCGGUAUGUAAACUUCUAUCAGCAAGGAAGAAAAUGACGGUACUUGACUAAGAAGC